AGGAAUAAAACUCCUAAAGCAGUGAAGCCAUCAUUCAGUUUUCUGAUGGCGGAAAGACAUAUUAUCUUGUUUGUGACCUAGUUCCUGCUUUUCUUUCCUGAUUGUUUGAAGUCACUGAGACAACCACGUAAAAAGUACCUUCAGUUCACCUGGCCUCAGUAUGAAGCCACACACCAAACAUUUCCUUUUGUGUCUUUAAAUCUCUCAUUAGUUGUUAAUAUUAUGGGCACCCUUCCACCUAUGUGACAAAGAAUCACUCCACCCCACAUAGUAUAGUGGGCUGUACAAGCUAGCUAGCCACUUUGUGUUCAGGAGGAAGAAGAGGAAGUACCUACGAAGUGCAGGAAGAUAAUAGGGUCUGCUAUUGGAACCAGGGGCAAGUGCUAUUGAAAUGCAUAUCUCUGCUGAUCUAGAAAAGGUCUUUGUCUGGGGUGGAAGGCAGGGUCAGGAACCAUUGUGCUGUGUCUUUAAGCACAGUGUAACCUUAAGGGAGGUGCUCUUGUCACUCAUGCCUCACUAGCCAAUCAGGUCCUCUAGGCGGCCUGCCAGUCAGAAGUGGUGCAGGGCCCUUCCGGCUUCCUGCUUCAGGAUUGGCUUUGAAGAGGAGCUGAUGCUAGUGGGUUUGUGUGCUGUGCUGUGAGUGUUGCUGCAAGGAGCUGAGCAUAGAGCAUGGGCAAGCUGGAAAACCACGACAUGGACGCAGUGACCUAUAAUGAUGUGCAUGUCAACUUCACUCAGGAAGAGUGGGCUUUGCUGGAUCCUUCUCAGAAGAAUCUUUACAAAGAUGUGAUGCUGGAGACCUAUAUGAACCUCACUGCUAUAGGCUACAAAUGGGAAGAUCUUAAUAUUGAAGAACAUUGUCAAAGUCCUCGAAGACAUGGAAGGUAAUUUUCGUGUGAGAGUUGAUACAAAUGUGCCUCUGGAGAUAUUUUAAUGUAUCUGGAAGUUUUAAAGAAA